rnacentral:tRNA from 1 species
UGGGAUUUAGCUCAGUGGUACAGCGCCUGCCUGACAAGUGUGAUGCCCUGAGUUCGAGUCCCAGUACCCAA